GCGGAUGAUUAAAUCCUACUAUUUUCCCUUUUCUAUUACCCUAACAACUAAGCCCUUAUCUCAAUACACGUUCCUUCUUCCCAAAAGAAAACCAUCGCUUCUUCUCCUUGUCUCUUCCUCUCUUACGCCACCGCUCCGCUUUCACAGGCUCCGACAAAGCUCCACAGGCAGAACCCCCCCAUGAACUGCCAUCUCCGGCGAGAAACAAGUGUCGCUUCACCCUCUCCGUCCCCUUCUGUUCCAUUAUCUCUCCCAUUCCCUCCACUUCUUCACCCCAUCUCUAGCGAAGACCACUAGUCGCCCCUUUCUCUUGCCUCUCUCCCCUUCCGGUCUCCUCUGCCUCCCUCUCCUUGCUCUCCGGUCAUCUUCAUUGACAAAAGAGACCAACAACAAAGCUCUUUUCCACCAGUAAUUACGGCACCACAAUGAUUGUAACUAGAUCGAUCGGAAGAUUCACGAAUCCAUUUUGUUUAAGACAGAUCAUUUUUAGGAAUGUCCUAGGUAUGUUCCUCUAACCUAAGUGCCACCUCUUCCCUCCAAUUCUCUGUUUUUGAUUCGUUAAGUUUGAGAUUCAUUGAUUUAUCUUGUUCAUUACCAUUUAUGUUUUUAGGCUUCUUGUGUUGAAACUUCGAUUCUUGAGAAUUUGUAUAGUCGGGGUUCAUCUAUGACCAAUCUGCUAUUUCUCCGUUUUUUCUCCAUUCAAAUGAUGUUCUAAUAAUCCAUUAGAUGUGUUGUUAUUGAUUUGUUCCCUUUGAAAUUCGAGUUGAUAUAGUUUUACAUGAUUUGCUUUUGUUGAUUCUUAAAAUGCUUAGAAAUAUUGUUAGUAUUUGGUUAUUUUAAGUAACUUUGAUAUGUAAUUGAUAUUAUUGUGCUCCACUCUUCCAUUUAGUUCCAUCGCAUUGGUUGAUUUAGAAUAUUUCCGUAAUUUAAGUUAAUUGUGGUAAGGUUGUCACUUUUAAAAGAAUGAUUAUGUUAAGAACUUGAUAUUUGGGUACUCUUUGGUCACUUUAAUAAGCUUAAGUCUUUCCUUUUGACAGUAACAACAUGUUUGGACAACUAUUGAUGUUAUGUCUUCCUUAUUAAAUUUUAGUUUCGUACAUAUAUGAUUUUGGUAAAUUUUAGUAUGCUUUCUUUUCCUUAAUUAUGAUUUACUGCUUUCUAUUCAUAAGCAUGAGAUUUACUCGUGCUAUUCAUGGUAAAAUAUAGCAGGAUUAAUUGAUUUAUUUGGGUGAAUUUCUUAACCUAUUUAUAGUAACACUGAUCUAAUUUUUGGCUUGGACUGAUUUUGCUCAUCUUAAUAGGAUAAAUUUUUCUUUGAUUGAUUUUUUCCAGAUUUCUCUCAUUAUGUCUAUGAUUGACUAUAGUCUUUUAUAUAUAAGCAUGGCCUAAUGCUCUUCUUUGGAGACUUUUUUACACUCUAGACAUGAGAACACAUUUUUACUUUCUCAUUUGAGCAUACUCUCAAAAGCACUAAAGAUUCUGGCGUAUUACUGAAAGAAGUUUCUUCAUUUUGGCUACUACACGAGGUUUGGCUUCGAGCUUUCAUAUCAAGUUUUGCGUUGCUUAGUAACUUAUCUACGUAUCCGCAUGAAAUUGUUCAAAGGCAUUUCAUAAGAGAUAGCUCAUGUGCGGUGGUACGGAGCACGCGUGAUUGGCUUUGAGUGUAGGGUUUGGUGAUAUCGGCUUCUACUCUCGUGGCUAGGACCAUAGUAGAUCAAGAAGAAGAAGAUUGGUGAGUCCUCAUAGUAAUCGAGGGCUUGACCAUUAUGUCCUUUAAGUCUUUCUUUUAUACUUUAGACUUUUUUAAGGUCCAUGUCCCUAGGAUUGUAUUCAAGUGUUAUAGAUGGUUUGAGACAUAGUGUUGUAGACUCCCAUUUGGUUUUUAUAAGAGACUUCAAUUGUAAAGAAAAGUUCUAA